rnacentral:rRNA from 1 species
GACGUAGGGCGCGAGCGUUGUCCGGAUUUAUUGGGCGUAAAGAGCUCGUAGGCGGCUUGUCGCGUCGUCCGUGAAAACCUGCGGCUCAACUGCAGGCUGGCGGUCGAUACGGGCAGGCUGGAGUUCGGUAGGGGAGACUGGAAUUCCUGUUGUAGCGGUGAAAUGCGCAGAUAUCAGGAGGAACACCGGUGGCGAAGGCGGGUCUCUGGGCCGAUACUGACGCUGAGGAGCGAAAGCGUGGGGAGCGAACAGG